rnacentral:misc_RNA from 1 species
GAUGAAGAACGUAGCGAAAUGCGAUAAGUAAUGUGAAUUGCAGAAUUCAGUGAAUCAUCGAAUCUUUGAACGCACAUUGCGCCCGCUAGUAUUCUGGCGGGCAUGCCUGUCCGAGCGUCAUUUCAACCCUCAAGCCCCCGGGCUUGGUGUUGGGGAUCGGCGAGCCUCCGCGCCCGCCGUCCCCUAAAUCUAGUGGCGGUCUCGCUGUAGCUUCCUCUGCGUAGUAGCACACCUCGCACUGGGAAACAGCGCGGCCACGCCGUUAAACCCCCAACUUCUGAACGUUUUACCUCGGAUCAGGUAGGAAUACCCGCUGAACUUAAGCAUAUCAAUAAGCGGAGGA